CCUUGGGUGGCGAGUGGCGGACGGGUGAGGAAUACAUCGGAAUCUGCCUAUUUGUGGGGGAUAACGUAGGGAAACUUACGCUAAUACCGCAUACGACCUACGGGUGAAAGCCGGGGACCUUCGGGCCUGGCGCAGAUAGAUGAGCCGAUGUCGGAUUAGCUAGUUGGCGGGGUAAAGGCCCACCAAGGCGACGAUCCGUAGCUGGUCUGAGAGGAUGAUCAGCCACACUGGAACUGAGACACGGUCCAGACUCCUACGGGAGGCAGCAGUGGGGAAUAUUGGACAAUGGGCGCAAGCCUGAUCCAGCCAUGCCGCGUGGGUGAAGAAGGCCUUCGGGUUGUAAAGCCCUUUUGUUGGGAAAGAAAAGCAGUCGGUUAAUACCCGAUUGUUCUGACGGUACCCAAAGAAUAAGCACCGGCUAACUUCGUGCCAGCAGCCGCGGUAAUACGAAGGGUGCAAGCGUUACUCGGAAUUACUGGGCGUAAAGCGUGCGUAGGUGGUUUGUUAAGUCUGAUGUGAAAGCCCUGGGCUCAACCUGGGAAUUGCAUUGGAUACUGGCAGGCUAGAGUGCGGUAGAGGGUAGUGGAAUUCCCGGUGUAG
rnacentral:rRNA from 1 species